UCCGCCGGUGACGUCACGGCUCUUGUUGCGGCGGUGGCGGGCAGGGCUAGGAGUGUAGAAGGGGAAGAAAGGAGAGGCCUUUGAUGCUGAAGGGGUGGGAUUGUCAAUUAGGGGAUAGUCGUUGCCGGGGAAGAAAGGGUUAUCAGGUCUGCCGGAGGCAGAGGGUUUGGAGGUGCAGCCUCCCAUGAUCUCCGGCGAAAGAAAAGGAAGUAACUUUGUUGAAGAAACAGAGUAAUGCUAUCUAUCAAAGUUCUGAUUUUUAGAGAGUGUAGAGAAGAGAGAUAGAGAGCAAAUAGAUCACAUGAGAAGUGAAACAGUUAAAGAAAUUGAAUUUUGAAUCUGAAAAUGGGGGUAGUGAUGAGAUCAUUUUUCUGCCACGUAUUUAUUGUCUUAAUUUAUUACGUUUUGUUAAACUUACGAUCUGUUUNNNNNNNNNNNNNNNNNNNNNNNNNNNNNNNNNNNNNNNNNNNNNNNNNNNNNNNNNNNNNNNNNNNNNNNNNNNNNNNNNNNNNNNNNNNNNNNNNNNNNNNNNNNNNNNNNNNNNNNNNNNNNNNNNNNNNNNNNNNNNNNNNNNAACUUCCUUGUGUUGUGCUGCGUCGGGUUAGCUGUGAGAUAGCAGGCUGAGAGAUUAUCACAAUAUAACUCCGGUGUGACUGAUCUCCAUCAGAAAAUCGAAUGUUUCUAAGCAUGAAUGGUGUCUUCGAUGAAGCAUCUAUGGUUAGAAGCUCAGGUCAAGUUCAGAAGUAGAAAAGGGUAGCAUUGAUAAACAGGUGGAGCUGCAAGAUGAUCAUGAAGUGAUCGAUGUGCAGGCACACACAGAAAAUCAAGUGGAGCGUGUAGAAGAUGUUCAGUUGGAUCUACGAAGAUUCAACCGCUUGAUGUUACAGAGCGUAGCAUCGUGAAAGAUCGACCAAGAAGGGUUGAUGUAAGGCCACCAAAGAGAUAUCACUUUGAUGAUAUGGUGGGUUAUGCACUUUAGGUUGCAGAGGAAGUGGAUGCGUCAUCCACUUACAUGGAAGUUGUUUCUAGUCCCGAGUCUGAGAAACGGCAUGUUGCAACAAGAGACGUGGAGUUUCAUUAGAAGAAUCAUACAUGGGAUCUGGUCACAUUACCAUCGGGGAGAAGGGAUGUUACAUGCAAGUGGGUCUUCAAGAUUAAGGAUGGAGCAUCACUGGCAGAAGGAGUUAAGUAUAAAGCUCGGGUUGUUGCAAGAGGGUUCAGCCAGAGAGAGGGAGUAGACUACAAUGAGAUGUUCUCACCUGUGGUCAGAGAUACUUUCAUCAGAGUGUUGCUAGCGCUGGUAGCACGCCAGGACUUGGAGCUUGAGCAAUUUGAUGUGAAGACAGUGUUUCUUCAUGGAGAGCUAGAGGAGAUAUACAUGACUCAGCCAGAUGGUUGUCGAGUUCCUGAAAAAAAUGACUAUGUGUGUACGCUUCAUAAGUCACUUUGUGGAUUUAAGCAGGCUCUCAGAGGAUGGUACAAGAGAUUAAACAGAUAUAUAAUCAAGUUGGGGUACAUCAAAAGUCCUUAUGAUUGGUGUGUCUGCGUGAGUAAGUUGAAGGAUGCAACAUUCAUAUGUUUGGUACUCUACGUGGAUGACAUGUUGUUAGCUGAAGAGAAGUGUGACAUCGAGAAGCUGAAGCUUCUGGGUUCUGAAGUUGAGAUGAAGGACUUGGGUGCAGCAAAGAAGAUUCUAGGGAUGGAGAUCUUCAGAGAUAGGGAGAAGGAGUUCUUGUCACAGAAGGCCUAUAUUAAUGAGGUGUUGACAAGGUUCGUGAUGUCUUCAGGUGAACAUAUCAGUACUUUGUGCACUGCAAAUGAUCAUCUCACCAUGUAUAUGGUUUAGCCCGUUGGGGCAUCUGGCCCGUUGAGGCAUCAUGCCCGUCGGGGCAUCUGGUCCGCAAGGACUUCUGGCCCGUUGGGGCAUCUGGUCCGCAAGGACAUCUGGCCCGUUGGGGCGUUUGGUCCGUUGGGACAUCUGGCCCGUUGGGGCAUCUAGUCCGUUGGGACGUCUGGUCCGUUGGGACAUCUGGUCCGUUGGAACAUCUGGCCCGUUGGGGCAUCUAGUCUGUUGGGACAUCUGGUCCGUUGGGACAUCUGGUCCGUUGGGACAUCCGGCUGAUGACGAACGUCUGCCUCUAGUUGAGCAUCUGGCCGUUAAAGGGUGUCUGGUUUGUCAUAGCAACACAUCUGGUCCGAAGGGACAUCUGAGGCAAAAAGAGCGAUGGUACAUUUGGCGUUUGAAGAACGCAUUUGGUACAUCGGGCGUUGAUGGUGCAUCGGGCAUUUGAAAGUGCAUAUGGUACAUUUAGCGCUGAUGGCGCAUCUGGUACAUCUGGUGCAGAGACACGCAUCUGGUACAUCUGGCACUUGAAGGUGCAUCUGGUACAUCUGUUAUUGGGAGGAUUCAAGUCAAUGUGGAGAUUUGUUGAUAUGCCUUGAAUCUGGAUGUUACAUCUAGGUGAUAGAUUACAUCAUGUACAUCAUACCGACUCGGUUGCAUCAAGAGCGUUGCAUCAAGUUAUUAUGGAUGUUACAUCUGAUCGUGGGCUUAGACCCAUGAGUCCAUAAAGUCUAGGGUUUUAGAUACGUGAUGCUACUAUAUAUAUCUUGUAUUCGAAGUAACUUUAAACUUGCACUUUGUAAGCUCAAUAUCGCCUCCAAUAAUAAGAUCUCUCUUUGCCCGUAGACGUACCUCUAGUGGUGAACCACGUUAAAUAUCUGUGUCGUAGUUACAUCGCUUUUAUUCAUCUGUUUCCGCAUCUAUUCCUUCUCACGUCCGUCACAACAGUUAUUGUUGCAGCAAAUUUACGAGUUACCACGUGUUAGUAUGUAAUUUGAGGAAAGUCUUGUUUGAUCUUGGAUGAGGUCUGCCUCUCAGAUGAGACCAAACUGAUACAACUCAAACAUGUUCAAGCUUCGGUACUGAUAAGAGUUUGAGUUUGUAUUAUUCUUUAGUUCAAUAUUAUGUUCUUUUUGUAGUCCAAAAUCUCACAUGAUUCUUUCAUUAAUCAAUGAAUGCCUUUUUGUAUAUUUCUGCUGGAUGUGUGUUUGGAGAUAAACCGACUCAACAGAGACACAAAGAGAGUGAGAGUCACUGUGGGUAAAAUUCCCUCUUUUAUCUUUCUCUUGACUUCACACAGAGAGUGAGAGUCACUGUGGUUACUAUUUUUAUUACAACAAGUCUUCGUACAACUUCUCUUUUAGGAAACUUUAUAUUCCCUUUUACAAUGCUCACUACUGAUCCAAAGAAUCAAAGUAAAGCUCUUGACAUCCUCUCUUUUGGCUUUGUCAGUGUGUUGGUUCUUCACCGUGUAGUUUUCACCGAGGGCCGAACAGAGACACCAUGUAAGAGUUUAGCAAACCCAAAGAAGCUCAGCUUCCCAUCUGUGUGUCUUAUCCAAUCAUGUAGAACCGAAUGUACUGUUAUAGCUGGUCCAACCCCAAGUUCCUGCAUACUCAGAAAACAACAUGUUGUCAUCUUUAAUAGGCAAAGAAAGCAAACACUGCUUAGCUUACAGAUGCGAGUUCUUCAAUAACGAUAGCUCUGUUUCCAUUCCUUUCAAAUAGCUCAUAAGCAUGACGAAUGCUCUCUUCCCAACAAUCAAGCGACUCGUGCUGAUGAACGUUUAUUGCCGCUGCACAAAACUCUGCAAAGUCCAUUCCUCUGUGUUGAAGUCCAUUUAGCUGUACAAAUGACAAGUCAUUGAUAAGAGGCGUUACAACCAAAACCGUUUAUAGUAUCUACUAAACGUUUCUUACCAAAGCAAGAAACUCUGGGAUUCGAGUCUCCUUCAUUUCAUCUGUGGCAUUGCUUGAGAGUGACGAUCUAAUGCUUCCCAAAGUGAUGAAGCCAUCUUUGUUCGGUGAGAGGAAAGAAAAUUGAGUUUUCAGGUAAAUAAUCUCAUCAGUGAUUAGUGUCUUGGACAAUGCCUGUAGAAAGAAAGAACACAAUGGUCAGAAACUAGUCUUCAGACAAUGUUCUUCAGUGCUUAAAAACAUACCCUCAAAGCAGCUUUGCGCAAUGAAGAAGAUCGCAAGUAGGCCUUCAUCUGCCUAAAGAUGAGGAUAUCAAAAGGUAUAUUCAUGUCCCUAUCAUAACCACGGAUCCAAGGAUGCACUGUAUAAAAUAUAAAAAACGAACUGUGACUACCAAAAGAGAAAAAAUAUUAUAUCUAUAAAUAAAGAGCUUGUGAGGUUUAAAAAUGAACUGACUCAAGGCUUGGGAAGCUGACAUUCUUCUCCGGGGAUCCUUAAACAAUAACCGCUUAACAAAAUCUUUAGCUUCAGAGGACAAGAAGGGCCAAGGAGCUUCAUCGAAACUAGGGUCAGCUUUAAGAACAGCUCUGAAGAUUCCGGAUUCUGUUCUUGCCCAAAACGGACGGCUGCCACAUAGUAGAAUGUAUGCUAUGACUCCAAUGCUCCAUACAUCUGCUUCUGUUGUGUAUGAUCUGUGUAGAACUUCAGGAGCUACGUAGUAUGCACUUCCAACUAUAUCGUUGAGUCUCUCAUCUUUUUCAAAUUAAAGAACACAACAGACCAUUUUUUAGUUUAUUAACCAUAAUAAAAAAAGAAAUACUCCCUGCUUUGCAGAUUAAUUGUCGUUCUAUUCAUUUUAAAUGUAUGUUUUCAAUGCAUUUAAUUGCUAAUUUUUCCAAUUUUCUGGCUAUUCUUUUAGCUCCUUAAUAAACAUAAUCAAACAAAAUAAUGUAUUAACUAGGGGUAAAAGAUGAAAUUUAAUGAUUUCUUAAUCUGUGUGAAAAAACUUAAGAAAUAUAUAUAAAAUGAAACGGAGAGAGUAGUUGACAUAGUGAAAUAUGAUUAUGAACCUGGUUUGACAAAAUUGUCGUUCUAGAGUUUAAAAUUUUUCAUUUUCAAUGUAUGUUUUCAAUGCAUUUAAUUGCUAAUUUUUCCAAUUUUCUGGCUAUUCUUUUAGCUCCUUAAUAAACAUAAUCAAACAAAACAAUGUAUUAACUAGGGGUAAAAGAUGAAAUUUAAUGAUUUUUUAAUCUGUGUGAAAAAACUUAAGAAAUAUAUAUAAAAUGAAACGGAGAGAGUAGUUGACAUAGUGAAAUAUGAUUAUGAACCUGGUUUGACAAAAUUGUCGUUCUAGAGUUUAAAAUUUUUCAUUUUCAAUGUAUGUUUUCAAUGCAUUUAAUUGCUAAUUUUUCCAAUUUUCUGGCUAUUCUUUUAGCUCCUUAAUAAACAUAAUCAAACAAAACAAUGUAUUAACUAGGGGUAAAAGAUGAAAUUUAAUGAUUUUUUAAUCUGUGUGAAAAAACUUAAGAAAUAUAUAUAAAAUGAAACGGAGAGAGUAGUUGACAUAGUGAAAUAUGAUUAUGAACCUGGUUUGACAAAAUCUGACAAGCCAAAGUCUAUGGCUUUAAGCUGAGAGUUCUCCUCCUUGGAAGUGUACAAGAAGUUCUGAUGAUCAAAGAAAACAUUAAAGAGAUAAUCUUCUUUCUGGUUUACAAAAAAAACUGUGCCUCACCUCUGGUUUAAGAUCUCUAUGAACAACUCCUUGGAGAUGACAAAAAGCUACAACGUUUAGUAUUUGUAUAAUCACUGGUUUUGCAUCAUCCUCUGAGUACUUCCCUCCCCUACAAAAAAACAAUAUGAAACUUCAGAACCAAUCUCUAACCAUAUGUUUCCAAAUGCUUUAAACUUAAAAUAGCACACACCUUGCUAGGAUUCUGUCAAGUAGUUCACCGCCUUCACAUAGCCUGCAAAAUUCAAGUUACUUUAAUUCUUUAAAUCUAACUGAUUCAUCUGGUAACAAAAGUUUGCUUACUCCAUGGCAAUGUAGACGUUAGCAUUGUCCUCAAAUGCAUCAUAGAACUGAACCAGAUUCUUAUGUCCAGAUAAAGCCUGUAGAAUCUUCACUUCCCUUCUCACAUCUUCUAUAGCUAUUGCACUUGUCAUCUAACCACACAAUGAAUCAUAAGAAAAUUAUGUUUUGGAGUAUGCAAUCAUCAAAAAAAAGAAAGGGUUUAUUUUUUUUUUUACCUUAGAUUUGGGGAUGAUCUUAACAGCAACCACUUGACCUUUGAGCUCACCUUUCCUGAACUUAGCAGAGCAAGUAUACCCAAAAUGCCCUCGACCAAUCUCAUCCCCCAACUCCACUCUACUGUGGAAAUCCUUUGCAAAACCAAACCUUUUGUCCAGCCCUAGCUCCUCUCCCUCCUCCUGCGGCGGAGCCUCCGUCGCUUCCGCCGAUAAAGCAGCUUCCUUUUUGCCCUUCCUCCGCCGUAGCGCCGCGCGGAUGUGUUUCGCCGGAGAGGGAGGGUUGAACGCGCGCCGUAAUUGACGGAGCGGCGUGCUCGUCACGCUCUUGCUCUCUCCGCCGGUGACGUCACGGCUCUUGUUGCGGCGGUGGCGGGCAGGGCUAGGAGUGUAGAAGGGGAAGAAAGGAGAGGCCUUUGAUGCUGAAGGGGUGGGAUUGUCAAUUAGGGGAUAGUCGUUGCCGGGGAAGAAAGGGUUAUCAGGUCUGCCGGAGGUAGAGGGUUUGGAGGUGCAGCCUCCCAUGAUCUCCGGCGAAAGAAAAGGAAGUAACUUUGUUGAAGAAACAGAGUAAUGCUAUCUAUCAAAGUUCUGAUUUUUAGAGAGUGUAGAGAAGAGAGAUAGAGAGCAAAU
rnacentral:lncRNA from 1 species